rnacentral:rRNA from 1 species
ACCGAGUCUCUGCGCGUGUCCGGUGAUUCAUAAUAAAUCGCGAAUCGCUUUAUUUAGCGAUGUAUCAUUCAAGUUUCUGACCUAUCAGCUUUGGACGGUAGGGUAUUGGCCUACCGGGGCAACGGCGGGUAACGGGGAAAUAGGGUUUUAUUCCGGAGAGGGAGCCUGAGAAACGGCUACCACAUUUAAGGAAGGCAGCAGGCGCGCAAAUUCCCAAUCCUGACACAGGGGGGUAGUGACAAGAAAUAACAAUACGGGGCUUAAUGUUUUGUAAUUGGAAAGAUGGGAAUUUAAACCUUUUCCAGAGUAUCAAUUGGGGGGCAAGUCUGGUGCCCGCACCCGCGGUAAUUCCAGCUCCAAUAGCGUAUAUUAAAUUUGUUGCAGAUAAAAAGCUCGUAGUUGAAUUUCUGCCGCAUUACAUUUCUCUUGUUUGAGUUUGUUAUUGGGGCUUAUUUCGGAUUGAUUUUUAUCUUUCCGGAUGAUUACUUUGAGAAAAUUAGAGUGCUCAAAGCAGGCUUUUGCCUUGAAUAGUUUAGCAUGGAAUAAUAGAGUAGGACUUUGGUUCUAUUUUGUUGGUUUUAGGUACCAAAGUAAUGGUUAAUAGGAACAGUUGGGGGCAUUCGUAUUUAACUGUCAGAGGUGAAAUUCUUAGAUUUGUUAAAGACGAACUACUGCGAAAGCAUUGCCAAGGUAUGUUUCAUAUCGGCGC